rnacentral:lncRNA from 1 species
AACAGCAAGUGACAAGACUGAGGCAGGCAGAGUGGCCGAGCGGGGUAGAGGGGCUGGAGACAGCAGUCAUGUGGAUGUUUUGGCACAGGGUCUGAAGGAGCCUGAUUGUUGAAGCAAAACUUCCCGUUUACCUACUGAUUGGAGGGUUUUUGAGCAUCUGGAAGCCAGAACAAAAAUGACCAUCCAUCCUCCCGCUGACCUUCCAGAUGACUGCAGGUGCAUGAGCACGCCCAGCAGGGAUCAGCUGAGCAAAAUCACCUCGCCGAAUCAUAGGCAGCAAGAAAAAAAGGCAGAGCGACAUGAUGAGGAAAACAAAAAGAUGAGAUUGCUUACACC